rnacentral:rRNA from 1 species
GACGAACGCUGGCGGCGUGCUUAACACAUGCAAGUCGAACGGAAAGGCCCUGCUUGCAGGGUACUCGAGUGGCGAACGGGUGAGUAACACGUGGGUGAUCUGCCCUGCACUUCGGGAUAAGCCUGGGAAACUGGGUCUAAUACCGGAUAGGAGCCAUUCUUAGUGUGAUGGUUGGAAAGUUUUUUCGGUGUAGGAUGAGCUCGCGGCCUAUCAGCUUGUUGGUGGGGUAAUGGCCUACCAAGGCGGCGACGGGUAGCCGGCCUGGGAGGGUGGACGGCCACAAUUGGGCUGGGGUACGGCCCAGACUCCUACGGGGGGCAGCAGGGGGGAAUAUUGCACAAUGGGCGCAAGCCUGAUGCAGCGACGCCGCGUGGGGGAUGACGGCCUUCGGGUUGUAAACUCCUUUCGCUAGGGGCGAAGCUUUUUGUGACGGUACCUAGAUAAGAAGCACCGGCUAACUACGUG